CUGCAGGGAGGAGCUGCAGCAUCAGAUGCUGCCAGGCUGUAUUCUGGCUUAAAAUCCAUAGCUGGAUCACAGGCAGUUUGCCUUUUGUGGCCAGUGUAGCUCCUGUUAGCAUCCUCCUCGGCUGCCAGCCAGGUGCUGCUGCUGGGUGCACUGCUGUGUGUGUGCCGCAAGGUGAAGUGCUUUGUCGCUGUAUCACUGCUGCACUAUUGUAGGGCCACUGUCCUAGGUGGUGCCUUCCAUGGUGGUGCUGUUGAUUCUUGGUGAGCCUCGCUGCAGAAUUUGAUCCUGCGUAGUUCCAUUGUCGGCUGUCUGCCAGCAAGAUUGGAACGACGGAAGCCGGUCAGUCUGCUUGGGUGUUUCACUCCACGCACCUUGCUGACUCCAGGAAUCCUGCACUCCACGGAGUAACUUGCUUCACGCCGGGACGGAGCAUCAGAACUGGUCCACUGCGACAGAGACUCUCUUGCAGCUCAACCAGGGGAUUGAGUGUGACUCACCUUUACAGCGUUUGGAACCUUACUUUUGUACU